GACGAACGCUGGCGGCGUGCCUAAUACAUGCAAGUAGAACGCUGAAGCGAGGAGCUUGCUCUUCUUGGAUGAGUUGCGAACGGGUGAGUAACGCGUAGGUAACCUGCCUUGUAGCGGGGGAUAACUACUGGAAACGAUAGCUAAUACCGCAUAACAAUGGAUGACACAUGUCAUUUAUUUGAAAGGGGCAAUUGCUCCACUACAAGAUGGACCUGCGUUGUAUUAGCUAGUAGGUGAGGUAAUGGCUCACCUAGGCGACGAUACAUAGCCGACCUGAGAGGGUGAUCGGCCACACUGGGACUGAGACACGGCCCAGACUCCUACGGGAGGCAGCAGUAGGGAAUCUUCGGCAAUGGGGGCAACCCUGACCGAGCAACGCCGCGUGAGUGAAGAAGGGUUUCGGAUCGUAAAGCUCUGUUGUAAGUCAAGAACGGGUGUGAGAGUGGAAAGUUCACACUGUGACGGUAGCUUACCAGAAAGAGACGGCUAACUACGUG
rnacentral:rRNA from 1 species